UGCAAUUUCCGGGGCAUGAACCCUGACAGUGGAGUGUCUGCCUUUUCAGGCUGACUGUUCCCUGGUCAGAGGGGAUCAAUGACCAGCCAGCCACCAUCCAUGGUGGUCCAGGAGCUCCUAGGAUUUUUGACCAUCUGAUCAGUCAACCCAGCAAGGAAAUGAAGACAUAGAAAGAAGACAACAGCCCACUCAAAAAACUUCCAGAGAAGAUUUCAGGAUGACCUCCAGAAGCCUGCUGAGCUACUUUGGUGUUGCAACCAUUUCUCCAUGGCGGAUUGGAAGGAAAAGAGCACAGGAGUGAGAAACAGUGGUAGGUCUUGGGGGAAUACAGGCGGUCAGUAAAAGUCAGCCAAAGUCCCAUAGAUUUUGGACUGUUCUUUCUAAUGAGUUCCUAGGCUCUGAAAUGUAGUCCUCUCUUCUCCUUACGGGACUGCAAACAAAUUUAUCAGCCCCUUUCCAUAACCUGGGUUUAUGAGAAAAGAGAGGCCCAGAUAGUGCAGAGCCAGGUUUUUUAAACCAACAUUCACUCAUAGAUUCAAUGCAAUGCCAACAAAAAUGCCAGUAUUAUUAAUAUAAAUCAAUGAAUUUGUUCUAAAAUUCCAAUGGGAAUACAAAGGACUGAGGAUAACUCGGAUAAUCCUCAUUCUGCCCGCUAACACUCUUAAGAGGAAUAGUAGGGCAAGUUGGGGAUAAUUAGGCAGCCUCAAGGACAUUGCAGGGACUUCAGGAGAAUUCAGGACAACAAAUAAGGACAACAAAUUCCAAAGGGGACUAAUCAAACACCCCAGCACUAAGGUCAACAGAGCAUCCCAAAUUGAGGACAAUAAAGAAGAAAGAUAAGGGCUGGGGCACAGAGACUUAGUUCUGGGCAGAGAGACAUUAGGGAAGUGAGUAAGACAUCUGAGAACUAGCCAAUCACAAGGAGAGUGGUGGAGCUUUAGAAUAAUCAGGGGAAAAAGGUGUGUAUUCCCUGAGACAU